UACGUAGGGGGCAAGCGUUGUCCGGAUUUAUUGGGCGUAAAGCGCGUGUAGGCGGUUCGGUAGGUCCGUUGUGAAAACUCGAGGCUCAACCUCGAGACGCCGAUGGAAACCAUCGAACUAGAGUCCGGAAGAGGAGAGUGGAAUUCCUGGUGUAGCGGUGAAAUGCGCAGAUAUCAGGAAGAACACCCGUGGCGAAAGCGGCUCUCUGGAACGGUACUGACGCUGAGACGCGAAAGCGUGGGGAGCAAACAGG
rnacentral:rRNA from 1 species